rnacentral:lncRNA from 1 species
CCCACUGCAGAAAACAGAAAGAAGAGUAGGUGAGACAGUAAGGCAGGAGCAACACCAAAACUUGUCAUGAGGUUUGUCACUUACGGAACAUUUGUCUAAGGUCAAGAGCUAAGAGUUAGCAAUGCUGAACUACAGUCCUCACAUAUCAGCAGCAAAGGACAAAAGAGACAGGCCAGCCUGGACUCAGGAGUUCCCCCUCCCUC